rnacentral:pre_miRNA from 1 species
AGGCAAGAUGUUGGCAUAGCUGUUGAGUUGAAAGCCCUGCUAUGCCAUCAAAUUGCCAUU